rnacentral:piRNA from 1 species
UGCCUAUGGUGGGUAAAGAGGGUUCUAGU